rnacentral:tRNA from 5 species
UCGCGGGAUGGAGCAGUCUGGUAGCUCGUCGGGCUCAUAACCCGAAGGUCGUAGGUUCAAAUCCUGCUCCCGCAA